rnacentral:lncRNA from 1 species
CUCAGAGGAUUCUGUAGCCUUUGCCUUUCCCUUUUCCUUUUUCUUUUUCUUUCUUUCUUCUAGAGCUCUUUGUAGUUCAGCUUCAGAUUAUUUUACCUUGCUUCUAAUGGCUCUUCCAUUAGGAAUUAAAGGGACAGUAGGUUCUGGGGAUUAAGUUAUGCUUUUCUUGGUUGGCUUGGAAGCAGUUGGAGCUUUUUGUGAAGUGGUUU